rnacentral:rRNA from 1 species
UACGUAGGGUGCGAGCGUUGUCCGGAAUUAUUGGGCGUAAAGAGCUCGUAGGUGGCGGGUCACGUCGGGUGUGAAAGCCCGGGGCUUAACUCCGGAUCUGCGGUGGGUACGGGCAGACUAGAGUGCAGUAGGGGAGACUGGAAUUCCUGGUGUAGCGGUGAAAUGCGCAGAUAUCAGGAGGAACACCGAUGGCGAAGGCAGGUCUCUGGGCUGUAACUGACGCUGAGGAGCGAAAGCAUGGGGAGCGAACAGG